UGUGAACUUGUUCAGAUCAGAUCAGAUCAGAUCAUGGGAUCCAUGUGACUAAAAGCGCGCACUUGAGUAUGAACUUGUUCUACUUCUCUCUAACAUGUCGCAGUUUCUUAAUAGUAAACCUCAGCUUUGGUGUUUGUAACGCUAGUAAUGGACUCUCCUUGUGUUCAUUCCAGCUACAUUAAUGCUUCUGCUGUCGUUAAUAUAGGAAGCUGAAGGGAAAGUGACAUGUCAAAUUACAAUCAUUCACGAUAGUCUUUCCUCACAGUAUAUACGGCGAUCCUGAUAGACUCCCUAUCGGAGUCGACCCUGUGGAAACCUCCGAUCUAUACCCACUCGCCAGCUUCUCCGGCCUUAUCUCCUCCACCAUUCUCACCACCUCACUCAUCUUCGGCCUCUUCUCCGGCACCCUCCC